CGGGAUUGUAAACGCACCAAUCAGCGCUCUGUCAAAACAGACCACUGGGCUCUACCAAUCAGCAGGAUGUGGGUGGGGCCAGAUAAGAGAAUAAAAGCAGGCUGCCCGAGCUAGCAGUGGCAACCCGCUAGGGUAUCCUUCCCUACUGUGGAAGCUUUGUUCUUUCGUUCUUUGCAAUAAAUCCUGCUGCUGCUCACUGUUUGGGUCCACACUGCCUUUAUGAGCUGUUAAACUCACCCCGAAGGUCUGCAGCUUCACUGCUGAGGCCAGCGAGACCACGAACCCACCGGGAGGAACGAACAACUCCAGACGCGCCGCCUUAAGAGCUGUAACACUCACCGCCAAGGUCUGCAGCUUCACUCCUGAGCCAGGGAGACCACGAACCCACCAGAAGGAAGAAACUCCGAGCACAUCCUAACAUCAGAAGGAACAAACUCCAGAGGCGCCACCUUAGGAGCUGUAACACUCACAGGGAGGGUGGGCGGCUUCAUUCUUGAAGUCAGUGAGACCAAGAACCCACCAAUUCUGGACAUACUAUCACCUUUCUUUUAUUCAUGUCUUGUACCUUUUAGAAAUCUUUUCAGUUUAGCAUGGGGGUUCCUGAUUUUGUUUGAAUGUUUUGUGGAUGUUCCAAAAUUUAUAUAGCUAAUGCUUUAUUGAUGAAUUUUAAUUUCCUAUAUUGUAUUCUGAUUUAUUUUAUUUAUUUGUUUUAUUUUUUUGAGACAGAGUCUCACUCUGUUGCUCAGGCUGGAGUGCAGUGGCACAAUCUCAGCUCACGGCAACCUCCACCUCCUGGGUUUAAGUGAUUCUCAUGCGUCGGCCUCCCAAGUAGGUGGGACUAGAGGUGCACACCACCACACCAGGCUAAUUUUUCUGUUUUUACUAGAGACAGGGUUUUACCAUGUUGGCCAGGCUGGUCUCGAACUCCUGGCCUCAAGUGAGCCGCCUGCUUCAGCCUCCCAAAGUGCUGGGAUUACAGGUGUGAGGCACUGCGCCUGGCUGUAUUGUGAUUAAUUUUAAGAAUAAUCAUUUUGUACAUAUUAUUUUGCCUGUAUGUAGGUAUAUCUCUAAGAAAAAGUCCUCAGCAUACAUUUUUCUAAUUAUGAGUGAAGAUGAACGAUUUUAAAAUGUGUAAAUACCAUCCUAAUUUACCCCCACACGUAUGUGUGUGUGAAUUAUCCAUUCGCUGUCCUUGACUCACAUUUUCUCCUUGUUAGAUUUUCU
rnacentral:lncRNA from 1 species